AUUGAACGCUGGCGGCAGGCCUAACACAUGCAAGUCGAGCGGAGCGGCGGACGGGUGUGUAAUGCCUAGGAAUCUGCCUGGUUGAGGUGGAUAACGUCCGGGAACGGGCGCUAAUACCGCAUACUAUCAGAUGAGCCUAGGUGGGAUUAGCUAGUUGGUGGGGUAAUGGCCUACCAAGGCGACGAUCCGUCACUGGUCUGAGAGGAUGAUCAGUCACACGGGAACGGGGACACGGUCCAGAUUCCUACGGGAGGCAGCAGUGGGGAAUAUUGGACAAUGGGCGAAAGCCGGAUCCAGCCAGGCCGCGUGUGUGAAGAAGGUCUUCGGAUUGUAAAGCACUUUAAGUAGGGAGGCGUUACCAACAGAAUAAGCACCGGCUAACUACGUGCCAGCAGCCGCGGUAAUUC
rnacentral:rRNA from 1 species